CUCAUAUCCAAAAUGGCCGUUCGUUCAGUGGCUGAUGGUGAUAACACUCAAGUUUUCAUGAAUGAUAGUAGUGAAACAAGUGAGCGCCAGAAGAGAUGCCGUCCAACUUCAAGAUUGAGCCCAGUGACAGCAGACUGGAGCUUCAGAUAGCCCUCAAGAAAGCACGGAAACUGAAGCCGCAGGCCGCUGUUACAGAAUCAAAGAACAGUGUAGAAAAGGUGGCAGAGUCAGUACUGGAGAGAAACUCAGAAGGAAACACGGAAGGUGGUUCCAUUGUGCUGAAUGCCACAGCAAAAUUCUGCCGCACACUGGGUGACAUCCCCACUUAUGGUCUGGAUGGCAACAGGGAUGAGGACGCUCAGGAACUGCUUGACUUUGAGAGGGAAAUAUUUGAAGAGAAGAAACGUCAGGAAGAAGAAGGCAAAUGUGGAGCUUGGAAUGAAGUUGAGAUUGAUACCUGUCUCAUGAAUUUCAUGGAAAGGGACCUGGCAAAAAUAAAGUGGAGAAACGAAUGAAGAAAACUGAACAGGAAGGAUUGAUGAAACAGAUGAACUCAACAGACACCCACUCGGAACACUUAGCCUCUUGCCGCAGAAGCAGAAAGAAAUGCAGUCUCCAUUCGUGGUCCUUAGUGGCGGUAAACAAACAUGAGGCAACCAUCU